GAUCCUGGCUCAGGACGAACGCUGGCGGCGUGCUUAACACAUGCAAGUCGAACGAGAGGACAAGAGAAGCUUGCUUCUUUUGGAAUCGAGUGGCAGACGGGUGAGUAACACGUAAACAACCUGCCUUCAGGAUGGGGACGAACAGACGGAAACGACUGCUAAUACCGAAUACGCUUGGGAGACCGCAUGAUCUUCCAAGGAAAGGGUGGCCUCUACCUGUAAGCUAUCGCCUGAAGAGGGGUUUGCGU
rnacentral:rRNA from 1 species